rnacentral:lncRNA from 1 species
UGAUAGCAAAAAUAAUAAAAAUAUAAGUAAUAUUAAUAAUAUAUUAGAAUACAAAAGUAAAGUAAUAACAAUAGGGGUGAUAAUAAUAAUAAUACAAACAAUAAUACAUAUAUAUAAUAAUAGUAGUUAGAAAUAAAAAAUAAUAAAAGUAACAAUAAUGAUAGUAAUAAUAUAAAUAAAUAUGGAGAGGGCAUAUAUAAUAUAAUAAUAAUAUAAAAAAUAAUAUAUACAUGAGAAAUAAUAAUAAUAAUAUAAAUAAUAGUAAAAAUAAUAAAAUAAUAAAACAAAGCUCUCAACUCUCUUUCUCCCUCUUUUCUAAAUCCGGCCGUUGGUCCGGCUUUGCUUCGGUCAUGGACCCCCACGGGCCGCCAUCGGCGCCACCGUACACGGCGGCCGGACCUCAAAAAAACCUUUUUCGAUAAUGAAAAUAUGGGUAAGCUUCUUACUUUUAUUUUUACUUUCGUAUAAAAAAAACAAAAUAAAAUUGAAAGGAAAACAAUAAACAAACAAAGAACUAAAGAUAAGAAUAGACAAAAGAAACCUCUUUUGCUUUGAUCUUUGAUUAAUCUCCAAAAACUAGCCUUUCCAAGAAACAAAAAUAACCUUUUUUCCAAAAAAA